UUUCUUUUUCGUUCUUUGUUUCGCAGAUGGGGAUGCUUACCGGACGAAUGCCAUGAUUCUGUAAAGACGCUCCAGAAGAUGGAAUUUUAGUUGGAAAGCAAAGACUCUACGACUACUUGGCUGGUGGAGUAUAUUUUGCACAGUCUGCAACGCGAAGACCCCGCUAUCAACAGGAUUGGAGGAAUUAGAGACAAGGAGGUACGCAUCACCUUUUUGAAAGCCUGGUAUGAUUUUUCUUAGAUGGAAGAAUGCACCAUGAGCUUAUCCAACUUACUGUAGUAGUUGCCACUAUUGUUGAGAGAGAGGAAGAACUAUGGUUAGAAUGAGUUAGUUGGAAAAGAAAUCUAUAAAACAGA